rnacentral:rRNA from 1 species
UACGGAGGGUGCGAGCGUUGCUCGGAAUUAUUGGGCGUAAAGCGUACGCAGGUGGCCGAUCAAGUCGAGUGUGAAAUCCCGGGGCUCAACUCCGGAACUGCAUUCGAGACUGACUGGCUUGAGUGCGGGAGAGGGAAGCGGAAUUCCUGGUGUAGAGGUGAAAUUCGUAGAUAUCAGGAGGAACACCGGUGGCGAAAGCGGCUUCCUGGCCCGACACUGACGCUCAUGUACGAAAGCGUGGGGAGCAAACAGG